UACGAAGGGGGCUAGCGUUGCUCGGAAUCACUGGGCGUAAAGGGUGCGUAGGCGGGGUCUUUUAAGUCAGGGGGUGAAAUCCUGGAGCUCAACUCCAGAACUGCCUUUGAUACUGAGGAUCUUGAGUUCGGGAGAGGUGAGUGGAACUGCGAGUGUAGAGGUGAAAUUCGUAGAUAUUCGCAAGAACACCAGUGGCGAAGGCGGCUCACUGGCCCGAUACUGACGCUGAGGCACGAAAGCGUGGGGGAGCAAACAGG
rnacentral:rRNA from 1 species